GUCUGAUAUCCAAGUAAUUAAAUGCCUCAUAUGUAACCCUACACUCGAACAGGCCAUGUAGAUGAGUUAGUGUCAGUGAAUACAAUCCUUAGCACAAACACUGUUAUUAUCAAUAUUUUGCAGAUUAGGAAAUAUGGGCUAAAAGAGUUUCAGUGACUUGUCUAAUGUCAAAAAGGCAAUAAGUAGUUGAGGAAAGACUUGAAUUUUAAUUCUUUGACCUGGA
rnacentral:lncRNA from 10 species